AAGAACAGACCUCCAGAACGAAUUACGGUAAGUUCUUAACCCGAGGUACCACUGUACUACCCACCUUAUAAAGUCUGUUUGAGUGCUGGUGACAUUUUCUGCUUUUAACUGUCCCUCUUCUCCUUUAUUGAAGAAGGUGGUUAACAUCUGUUUGCAAUUUAAUUCUAAAGCACUCUUCCCCAAUGAUUACAACCCCUAUCAUCUUGGUAUGGCAGUGGCCAGGAAUGAUGGAACUUAGUCAAACAUUUGGGACCCAAGUUUGAGAAAUGAUGCUGGAGAGUUUCCCAGAUAAUGUAGACUUCUCUAUUUUUUACCACUUGUUAAUCUUUCGGAUUGGUCAGAGAUUCUUUUGUUAGCUUGAGUGGACCAUCUUUACUUGAAGGCAAAACACAAAAAUACAACCCUGUUGUUAAACAUCUCAGCAGAAUUCAGUACAAUUGACAUGGGGUUAAUGGCACAACUCUUUAUUGGAACCACCCUGUUAGGUAGAAAUGGAACUACAGAGUACCGGUACAUGCUGCAUACUCACAAGAUUUCCAGAAAUCUUCAUGUGCUCUUCUAAUCUUCCUAGUCUUCCUAGUCUAUUUAUGUCACAAAUUAAAGCUGCAGUCAUAGGCCCACUUACUUGGGAGUAAGAUCCAUUGCACUCAUUGGGACUUUACUUCUAAGUAGACAUGUAUAGGAUCACUCUGUUAAACAUGCUUUGAACAAUAACAGUGUAUCCAGAUGAUGUUACUCACAUUUAGGUCCCACUCCCUGCUGUCGCCUCCUCUGACAACAAACUUUUGUCUAUCUAGCUGCUUAUGUUUGCUCAUACUAAGCAACCUGCCAGCACUGGAGAGAAAAAGACUGAAACUGAUCCAGACAAACACAACAAGAGGCAGCUAAUGAUCUUUCUGGCAUAGACUGUAUUAAUUACUGUUCAAGCUGGAAAGGAUGUAGCUUAUCACAGCAGGCUAAUGGCAGUUUUAACUCUGGGUGGACAGUCCAACAUGACCAGGACUGAAUAGCCUGCUAGUCACCUGAAAGAGCUCCUCUGGAUGACACUGAGCAGAUGGAACAACUUAUUACAGUGGAAGAAAAACAUGGUAUACAAAUGUAAUAAAUAAAUAACAUUACGACAAACCAGAUCAAAAUAUAAUAAAAAUCAGUAAAAGUAACAACACCAAAUAAAGUUUUAUUUUGAAAAAGGUUGUUUGAAACUCUAUGUUUGGGCUAUUUUUGAAAGCUCACUAAAAAGUAGACAGAUGGUCCUUUCUGGGAAGCAUAUUCCAAAGUAGAACUUGCCUGGAAAAGUUGACCAGAAGAAAUAAGUGAAUAUUAUUAUUAACACUAUUAUAAUUUAUUACUGACCCUUCACCCUAACAUUAAAUUACCAUUCAUCAUUCCAUUUGUCAUUACCCUGUGAAUACCUGGAUUCUUGCCUCUCAAACCCUCCCUGUGACACAAUCAAUUAGGCUGGUUCAUACCUGGAGCCUAAUGGAUCCAACUGGCUUACACAAUUCUACAAGGGAAAUUCUAUUAUGAAAAUGUUUUCACAGCAACCCCUAAAUUCCAUACCCUCCUGUACAAAAGUAUGUAUAACUGAAAUAGUUUCAUAUUCUUGGUGUCUUUAUUCCUGCAUCCAUUUCCCUCCCCUUUCUAUGUAAUCUUCUCUGUUUUAUGUAUGGAUUGCAAAUCUCUUGAGACAGGAACACAGCCAUCCAUUUUAAAAAGUUGUGCAUAUAGUUUGAGCUAUAUAAAAUAAGGAUUAUUCAUGUUAAUGGUUAUCCUGUGGAUAGUAUAAAUGAAUUAUGAAAUACAAGGCUAACCUCAGGAAUAGACAUGGUAGUUCCUAGACAUCCAUAUCUACUUUGCCAUCAGGACAUCCACUAAAGAGUGCAGAUGGUGAAAACCCCAUGUUCUAUAUGGGCAAACAAAACACAGAGCCUAUUUGAAGACCUAAAACACUGUUUUUCUUCCAAUGAGCUCAAGGUGUAUACAUGGUUCUUCUCAUUUCACCCUCACAGCAACCUUGUGAGGUAGGUUAGGCUAAGAGAUGGUGACUAGCUCAAGGUCACUUAGUGAGUAAUGCGUGGUUUAAGUUGGUUUGAUAACCUAUUUGAAUUAUAAAACAGCAAUUUUUAAAAUGCAUCAAUAAAACAAUUGAAUUGUCUGCUGGGAUUGCCCCGUGACUGAUAUUUGCCACUCAAGCCUAAUGCUGUACUGAGUAUUCAGUGACACGGUCUGGGGCUGGCCCAACUCUGCUUUCCUAGCUUCAUAUAGCCAACAAAUACCAGGUCAGCCAUUUCAUUCACAAUCAAAUAAUGUAAGAAGGUUCCUGUCUUGCAUUUAUGUGCCACAGAUGUUUAACAGUAGAUUAAGAUAUGCAGUAGUUGAAUUUUUGAAUUUAAAGACAGAAUGUGUUGGAGCAACAUAUUUCCUGCCCGGCAGAUGGAUGGGACUCAUAACAUUUCAUUUUAAAAAUCACUUUCACAAUUUCCAUAUCUUGUGCUGUACUAGGUAGACCUGUGCCCUGAUCCAGCAGGGUUCGCCUUACAUUUUUAUCAAUAAAAGUUUUAUUAUGUUGCCUGAA